rnacentral:rRNA from 1 species
AGCGAACGCUGGCGGCAGGCCUAACACAUGCAAGUCGAACGGAUCCUUCGGGAUUAGUGGCGGACGGGUGAGGAACACGUGGGAACGUGCCUUGUGGUUCGGAACAACUCAGGGAAACUUGAGCUAAUACCGGAUAAGCCCUUCGGGGGAAAGAUUUAACGCCAUUAGAGCGGCCCGCGUCUGAUUAGCUAGUUGGUGAGGUAAAGGCGCACCAAGGCGACGAUCAGUAGCUGGUCUGAGAGGAUGAUCAGCCACACUGGGACUGAGACACGGCCCAGACUCCUACGGGAGGCAGCAGUGGGGAAUCUUGCGCAAUGGGCGAAAGCCUGACGCAGCCAUGCCGCGUGAAUGAUGAAGGUCUUAGGAUUGUAAAAUUCUUUCACCGGGGACGAUAAUGACGGUACCCGGAGAAGAAGCCCCGGCUAACUUCGUGCCAGCCGCCGCUGUAAAAC